UACGUAGGGUGCGAGCGUUGUCCGGAAUUAUUGGGCGUAAAGAGCUUGUAGGCGGUUUGUCGCGUCGUCUGUGAAAUCCCGCGGCUCAACUGCGGGUCUGCAGGCGAUACGGGCAGGCUAGAGUUCGGUAGGGGAGACUGGAAUUCCUGGUGUAGCGGUGAAAUGCGCAGAUAUCAGGAGGAACACCGGUGGCGAAGGCGGGUCUCUGGGCCGAUACUGACGCUGAGGAGCAAAAGCGUGGGGAGCGAACAGG
rnacentral:rRNA from 1 species